AUAUUAAUUUAUUUCUUGCAAACUUAUGUAUUUCAGAAAUCCAAGGCUCCGCGGUUAUGUAACCAGUUUCUGUCACAAAAUCAGUGAGAUUGGCGUCAUUGGUGCGAUCCAACAAUAGAGGAGGGCAUAGGACCAAAACUGUAUGAUAUCCUGGAGAGAAAUUAUGGGGUCAGGAAAAAACAAAGCAUUUGGAAGAAGUAUCUAUCAUACCAACAAAUCCGUAUUUGUGGAGUUGCAUGUGAAGAAAUCGCAGACUGGGCAGCUUUUCCGUCGGUUGCAAUUGAGGAGACCCGAGUAGGAAAUAAAUUAGAUCCCAGGCUACACUCGUAAUUUUUGGCAACUGGAGAUCUACAAAGUCACCAUGAUUAAUAGCUACAAUGAAAAAUGUGGUUUUAAGCAGCAUCGCUCGAUGGUUAUUGCAUUAUUGUUACCAUU